UGCAGCCUACGGGGCGCAGCAGUAGGGAAUCUUCCACAAUGGGCGAAAGCCUGAUGGAGCAACGCCGCGUGGGUGAAGAAGGUCUUCGGAUCGUAAAACCCUGUUGUUAGAGAAGAAAGUGCGUGAGAGUAACUGUUCACGUUUCGACGGUAUCUAACCAAAAAGCCACGGCUAACUACGUGCCAGCAGCCGCGGUAAUACGUAGGUGGCAAGCGUUAUCCGGAUUUAUUGGGCGUAAAGGGAACGCAGGCGGUCUUUUAAGUCUGAUGUGAAAUCCUAUGGCUUAACCAUAGAACUGCAUUUGA
rnacentral:rRNA from 1 species